GCAGAAGUGUGUCAGGUGGGUUAACAAGGAAAAGGUCGUUACAGUCACUGUUCAAACAAUCUGAAUUUCCUGUUUGCCUUUCCUGGUCAAUUAGGUGAUUCCAGGCAGUCCAGUCAGGUUCUUCUCUACACAAAGAGAAGUCUAGAGUGAGAUUACAGUUGUUCUCAUUUGCUUAAACACAGAAAUGGUUUCCUGUAGCAGGGUCGGGGUAUGCAGAGGUCAGUAAUCCAGUGGGGAACAAAGGUGCAGGUCAGCAGGGAGGCUCGGGGUCAGGGGCAGGCAGAGUGGUCAGGCAAGCGGGCUCGGGGUCAGGGGCAGGCAGAGUGGUCAGGCAAGCAGGCUCGGGGUCAGGGGCAGGCAGAGUGGUCAGGCAAGCAGGCUCGGGGUCAGGGGCAGGCAGAGUGGUCAGGCAAGCGGGCUCGGGGUCAGGGGCAGGCAGAGUGGUCAGGCAAGCAGGCUCGGGGUCAGGGGCAGGCAGAGUGGUCAGGCAAGCAGGCUCUGAAUCAGGACAGGCUCAAAACCAGGAGGGCGCAGAAAGGGGAGGCUGGAAAAAGCAGGAGCUGAAACACAAGCCGCUGGUUGACUUGACAAACAAGACGAAUUUGCAACGGACAUACAGACAACACAGGUAUAUAUACACAGGGGAUAAUGGGGAAGAUGGGAGACACCUGGAGGGGGUGGAGAUAAUCACAAGGACAGGUGAAACAGAUCCGGGUGUGACAAUAUAUUCAUUCAGCAGACAUGCUCUGAAUAUAAUUAACUCAAGUCAUCACAACCUAAACUCAAAUUGUUAACACACCAAUCAGAAUAGCAGGAUCAAUAAAUAGGGCCUAGAGGCAUGUCCACCUUCUUUGGAACAAUGGAUCCUAAAAAUGCCGAAGUUGCAAGACAACAUGGAGAAAGAGGACGACAAUGACAACAACAACAACAACAAGUAAUCUUAGAUGAAAUCCGUGACACCCUAGUUCAUCAUGUGCUCAUAGAUGGGAGGACCAUGAGAGAAGCUGGACAGCUAGUGCAACUCAACCUAAGCUAUUACACGGUUGCAUCCAAUGUCUGUACUUUCAGAAGGGAAAACAGGACCUGAGCCCUAGGACCAUGCCCCAGGACUACCUGACAUGAUGACUCCUUGCUGUCCCCAGUCCACCUGGCCAUGCUGCUGCUCCAGUUUCAACUGGCCUGGGCCCUAGGACCAUGUCCCAGGACUACCUGACAUGAUGACUCCUUGCUGUCCCCAGUCCACCUGGCCAUGCUGCUGCUCCAGUUUCAACAUUUCUGCCUUACUAUUAUUCAACCAUGCUGGUCAUUUAUGAACAUUUGAACAUCUUGGCCACGUUCUGUUAUAAUCUCCACCCGGCACAGCCAGAAGAGGACUGGCCACCCCACAUAUGCUCUCUCUAAUUCUCUCUUUCUUUCUCUCUCUCUCGGAGGACCUGAGCCCUAGGACCGUGCCCCAGGACUACCUGACAUGAUGACUCCUUGCUGUCCCCAGUCCACCUGACUGUGCUGCUGCUCCAGUUUCAACUGUUCUGCCUUAUUAUUAUUCGACCAUGCUGGUCAUUUAUGAACAUUUGAACAUCUUGGUCAUGUUCUGUUAUAAUCUCUACCCGGCACAGCCAGAAGAGGACUGGCCACCCCACAUAGCCUGGUUCCUCUCUAGGUUUCUUCCUAGGUUUUGGCCUUUCUAGGGAGUUUUUCCUAGCCACCGUGCUUUUACACCUGCAUUGUUUGCUGUUUGGGGUUUUAGGCUGGGUUUCUGUACAGCACUUUGAGAUAUCAGCUGAUGUACGAAGGGCUAUAUAAAUAAAUUUGAUUUUGAUUUGAUUUGAUUUGGCCAUCUAUUGGAGGUAGGCGGAGACUUCUCACAGCUGAACAGGAAAUUGCCCUGGUGAAUAUGGUGAUUGCUAGUAAUGUCACCAGUUUGAGGGAAAUUCAAACCCAAAUAGUUGAAGACCAGGUAGUCUUCCAAGGCAUUGACAGCAGCAGCAUGACCGGAUCGUUCAGUAGAAUCACAUAAGGACAAAGCAGCUGUACUGUGUUCAAAUUCAAACAGAGUUAAGGAGCAAGGAUUCCAAUAUGUGCAGGUAAUUGUUAUACUGUACAGAAUUUGUACAGCAUGUAGAGUACGGCCCAUCUCUCCAGCAUAUCAAUACAGUACUGUAUAGUAAUGUGUUACAGUAACUGCAGUAACUGCAGUACACAAUCUUUCAUUCCAGUACAGUAGUACACUACAGUGCUGUAUUUGUAGUACAGUAAAAUGCAUGUUUUUGGACUUCUGUAGAGAAUCUUUGCGCUGGAUGCCAUGGCUGACCCUUAGGAGUACAUCUUCAUCGACGAUGCAGGGUUCAACCUAACAAAAAGGUGCGAAAAGGGGCUCAACGUCAUUGGUCACCGUGCCAUCAUACAAGUUCCUGGUCAGAGGGGAGGCAAUGUCAUCCUAUGUGCAGCCAUCAGCAAUGUCAAAGUGGGUCCAUACAACACGGCACAACGUCACCCUAUGUGCAGCCAUCAGCAAUGUCAAAGUGGGUCCAUACAACACGACACAACGUCACCCUAUGUGCAGCCAUCAGCAAUGUCAAAGUGGGUCCAUACAACACGGCACAACGUCACCCUAUGUGCAGCCAUCAGCAAUGUCAAAGUGGGUCCAUACAACAUGGCACAACUCCUUCAAUUUCUAGAUCAGCUGCACAAUAACAUUCCUCAACAGGAGGGGGAGCCAGGGCAACCAGAGCAAGCCCAAUAUGUUGUCAUUUGGGAUAAUGUGAGUUUCCAUCAGGCUGCUCUGGUUCACGCCUGGUUCAAUGACCACCCCAGGUUCAGCGUUCUUUUUUUUUGCCAGCAUAUUCCCAAUUUCUGAUGAAUUUCUCAGCAUGGCGGGUAAAACUAACCUGUCUCACGACGGUCUAAUCGCAGCUCACGUUCCCUAUUAGUGGGUGAACAAUCCAACGCUUGGUGAAUUCUGCUUCACAAUGAUAGGAAGAGCCGA